GCGCUAUAACUAUUCCUAUAUUUUGAAGUGUGCCCGAAUCUACGUGCAUUACUGCUUCCGCUAGACCACCAUUGGAAUGGCACAUUACUGACAUGGCAUGGUAUAAAGCAUUGUGCUAGUUCCUGCUGGUAGGAGCGCAUCCGGUUCGCUCGUCGCGCAUAUUUCACCUCCUUUAGCAACAGAGAAGCAAGUCAUGAGAAGAUUACGCCCUCAGCGUGUGCCUAAUACCAGAGGAAUAAACGGAUGAGGAGUAUCGUAUAAAAGCAGCAUCUCUGUCUUGUAAACGCACUUUUUGGCCAUACAAGAAAAUUUGUGCAGCGCCAUGAAAACGCUGGGUGUAUUGGUAUGCCUGAUGAUGGCAGCAUAUGCAGUGACAGCAUCGCCUCACGAUCGUGAGCGCAGCGAGCGCGACGAAUCUGAGUUCGGAAGGCACCAUGGCCGCCAUCAUGGACACCACCGUUUUAAUCACACCUGCAAUGGAACUGAAGCUACCUCUACGGCGCAGCCCCAAGCGACGACUGUGAGUGCCGGAGCAAUCACGAAUUCAACAACUCAGGCCAGUACGAGUGGAGCGCUCUCAACGACCACCGCCACGGUGUCCACUACAUAAUGUCCUCAAGUGGAUGCUAUGGCAAGCUGUAUGAAGCCCUGUGUUUCCCACUCAGUUAGCCAAAAAUUAUGUGUUUUUGAAAGGGUUGUAUUCUCUCCCGGGGAAGGCGGAUAAUAAAUAGCCUGGAAAUUCUG